rnacentral:rRNA from 1 species
GACGAACGCUGGCGGCGUGCUUAACACAUGCAAGUCGAACGGAAAGGCCCUGCUUUUGUGGGGUGCUCGAGUGGCGAACGGGUGAGUAACACGUGAGUAACCUGCCCUUGACUUUGGGAUAACUUCAGGAAACUGGGGCUAAUACCGGAUAGGAGCUCCUGCUGCAUGGUGGGGGUUGGAAAGUUUCGGCGGUUGGGGAUGGACUCGCGGCUUAUCAGCUUGUUGGUGGGGUAGUGGCUUACCAAGGCUUUGACGGGUAGCCGGCCUGAGAGGGUGACAGGCCACAUUGGGACUGAGAUACGGCCCAGACUCCUACGGGAGGCAGCGGUGGGGAAUAUUGCACAAUGGGCGGAAGCCUGAUGCAGCAACGCCGCGUGCGGGAUGACGGCCUUCGGGUUGUAAACCGCUUUCGCCUGUGACGAAGCGUGAGUGACGGUAAUGGGUAAAGAAGCACCGGCUAACUACGUG